rnacentral:rRNA from 1 species
UACGUAGGGGGCAAGCGUUGUCCGGAUUUAUUGGGCGUAAAGAGCGUGUAGGCGGCCAGGUAGGUCCGUUGUGAAAACUCGAGGCUCAACCUCGAGACGUCGAUGGAAACCAUCUGGCUAGAGUCCGGAAGAGGAGAGUGGAAUUCCUGGUGUAGCGGUGAAAUGCGCAGAUAUCAGGAAGAACACCUAUGGCGAAGGCAGCUCUCUGGGACGGUACUGACACUGAGGAGCGAAAGCGUGGGUAGCAAACAGG